rnacentral:rRNA from 1 species
CCUACGGGAGGCAGCAGUGAGGAAUAUUGGUCAAUGGGCGAGAGCCUGAACCAGCCAAGCCGCGUGAAGGAUGACUGCCCUACGGGUUGUAAACUUCUUUUGUCAAGGAAUAAAGUGCGGCACGUGUGCCUUUUUGUAUGUCCUUUCUGAAUAAGGAUCGGCUAACUCCGUGCCAGCAGCCGCGGUAAUCCGGAGGAUCCGAGCGUUAUCCGGAUUUAUUGGGUUUACAGGGAGCGUAGAUGGGUUGUUAAGUCAGUUGUGAAAGGUUGCGGCUCAACCGUAAACUUGCAAUUGAUACUGGCAGUCUUGAGUACAGUAGAGGUAGGCGGAAUUCGUGGUGUAGCGGUGAAAUGCCUAGAUAUCACGAAGAACUCCGAUUGCGAAGGCAGCUUACUAAACUGCCACUGACAUUGAGGCGCGAAAGUGUGGGUAUCAAACAGGAUUAGAUACCCGUGUAGUC